GACAACAUAUCUGAAAGAAAGCAGGCUGUGUAAGAAGAGAAGGUUUCUCAACUUUUCCCAGACUAGAUAAAGAUUUCAUGGGCUUUGGCAAGGAAAAGCAGGAAGAAAAAUAGAGACCUUGGAGGACUGCGAAUUCCUGGGGUGGAACUCGGGAGCUCAGAGCACAGGAAUGAAAGAGACCACACUGUCCCUGACCUCAAGGAAUUUACAGACUAGCAGAGAAGAUACAUUCAACAAAUAAACGCCAUAAAGCAAAUUGACUAUUAUGAUACAACAUACAGGAAGGGAACUGAACUAGGCAUACACGUCUGGGAAUGCUUUGCUAAAAAAGAGAUUUAGUUGGGAAUUUGUAGCAUAAGUAGAUGCUGUCUAAAUGGAGAGUAGAGAGAAAAAGUGUUUCAGGGAAUAGGAGCACAUGUAGAAAAUUGUGAAGGAAGAGCAUGUGGCAUGUUUUAGAAGUCAAGAGAAGUCCAAGAUGAUUACUGGAAUGGAGAAAGAAGAGGAACAGUAGGAAAGUUUGGUUUGUACUCACAAACCAUAGCUAAAGUGGAACUUGCAAGUUGAAGUCCAACCCGUACCAGAAUUUGACUGCAAGCAAUGAAAACAAACUCUGCCUCAUUAAACAGAGAAGAAAUUUGUUGGAAGAAUACAGGUUAGCUCACAGAAUCAAAAGGAAAGCUGCUGAGCAGCCCCAGGAACGGCAGACCUAGAACAGUUCUAGGGAUUAGGUAAAAAGGAUCAGUGGACAAUGUCUGCGGGAAGCUCACUGGAAUGAAUCUACACCCUGUCUCAGCAACAUUCUGCUCAGGAUCCAGAUUCCCAGAAUGAGAGUUCACAAGGCCACACCUUGACUGGGACAUUCUGAACAUCUUCAUUGAAAUUAUGAUGAAGAAGACAAGGAGUUGGAAAGACAUAGAUCUCCAGAGCCCUUAAUCUCAGAUCAGUCGUGAGAAAGACAUCAAACAAAUCCAAAUGGGGGACAUUCUGCAAAAUAACUCACCAGUACUCCUCAAAACUAUAAAGGUCAUCAAAAACAAGGAAACUCUGAGAAAUUGUCAUAGCCAAGAGGAGCCUGAGGAGAUAAUGACAACUAAAUGCAAUCUAGUAUCCUGGAUGAGAUCCUGGAAUAGAAAAAGAACAUCAGGUGAAGGAUAGGCUCUGGGAGACUCCCAGCAUUGUCAGUGCCAGAAGCAGAGGAAUGGGGACUGGAACCCAGGUGUCCUGGCACCAAGUCCAGUGUUCCUUAUUAUACUUAGCCAUCUCUCAAGGGGAAAUACAUAAUAUACUCCUGGUGCUUCUACUUGGAUUAUAUUGGAAAGAAAGUUGGCAUGAAUAAAUAUCUCUAGUUUACGAACACAAAUAACCUUCUUUUUUGCCAAUCUCUACUAUUUAAAUAGUGUCAGUAUACUACUGGUUCUUCUUAAUAACUGUCUAUUAUAAAUAGUCAAUAUUCUGGGCAAUGUAAUGCUCGAUUAAUAUUACAUUCUGUUUUCUCAGUGAUGCACAGUUGAAAUCCAGAAACUAAGCUCUGUGAGGAUGGUAAACAUUCUUCUCAACAUUAAAUCCUUUGAUGUUGAAAAAGAAUAUGCAUUAAAGUAUCCUAAAAUAUUAUAUAAUAACUUUAUAAUAUCAGUUAACACAAGCUCAUCAUUCUGGUCCAUUAUUUGGCAAAUGGCUUUAUUCUUUCAUAGUUUCUUCUUACCUGAGGACUUCUGUUCCUCCUCAGUAGAUGUAGUCCACUAACCUAUCAUGACUUUACUGCUGCUUGAUUUCAUUUUCUAACCUAUUUUAUGUGCGAGGAAAAUCAUUCAUAAUAGCUUGUGUGUGACUGUGUUUCACCUCUAGUCAAUGACCAUUUCUAUUCAAACUAUUUUAAACGAUGUUUUGGAAUCGGUCCAUCCCUUGCCUUUGCGUAUAUUCUAUAUCUUUUUCUAACUUUCCCAAAUGACUCACUUUUUGCUUUUGUUUUUAAUUAGAGGAUCUUCUUAUGGUUUCUUCCUGAGUAUCCCCUUUGGAGCUAGGCAGAUAUUGUUUUGCACAGCAGAAUGUCCAGCUGAGAACAAAAAUACAGACCUGUGUUUUUUACAACAAUGUUUAAGUGGGUUUAAUCAGAAUGCAGUUUUACAGUUCAAAUAUAUCCAUAUUUCAAAGACCACAGAACUUAACAUUAUAUGCUCUCUUUUUCAGCAAUGUGAACAAACCAAACUGUCAAACACUGAACCAGUGGAAAAUGAAUGUACUUCCAAAAUCAUUUCCCUGAUCCACUGCAAACAGCUUGAUCACAUUGGAGAAUGUGACCCAUGCAGUUGCUGAAGCGUGUUUUCCCACUAUACCUCAUGCAGAAAAA